GAAUGACUCUACAGUACAAGUUUACUCUGUGUCAGAAGUACUGUAAUCAUAAGAUAACAGAAUGGAGAUACUCUGAGCUGAUCUUGUCCCUCGCAUGUCAAUGUUGUGUGAAGAAAGAAAAGCAAGGGAAGUGGAGGAAGGAAAGAAUUUCACAGGGAAAUGAACAUUACGUCUUAUCAGAUCGAAUGAAUGUGGCUACAGGCGUUAGCAGAGGACGGGCGGAAUGAUUGCUUUAUCUAAACGGUCUUGCCCAGGCAUAAACAAACAAAGACAUGCCGAGGAAAACACAAACACACACCCACAUGGAGUUCUGGGAGUCUGGUUACAUUAUGUGAGGUGCAGGCGCUACACGCAGAGCACAAAAGAACUCAAACCUGACUGCAGUGACAACACAGCCGCGGCAUUUAUCAGCCAUGGCAUGUCUGCCUGACAGCACCUCCCUCCUCACACACAUUAUUGCUUUUCUAUCAGGCUAAGUGUGUGUGCGCGAGAGGAAGUGAGCGGACAUUGAAUUUUUAUUCAUUUGCAUGCAGAAACAUGAACUAACAGUCUCUGGUGAGGAAGAUAAGGGCUUCUUUCUUUCAACUAUAUAUAAGUGAGUGACAGAGAAAGAGUCAGAAUGAGAGAAGAGAGUUGCGUUUCAGGCCUAGCAGAGAACACUUUGCUGUAGGCAAUGCUUGGAAGGGUGUGUGUGUGUGUGUGUGUGUGUGUUUGGACCUAGAAUGCACAAAGUGACUGGGACUGAUGUGAACAAAAGCUAAGCGGCAAAAAUAUCAAAGCUGUGGCUAACUGACCAAAGCGAAUGCGAAGCAAACAUUUCUUGAAGUGCAGCAGCUCUUGUCACAGUUGUGCACAACUUGCAUUUAAAAAUGUUGGAUAUCUGUUGAGCUGAGCUACAGACCACACCCUUUCUGCCCGGGUGGUUUUGGUGCUAGGUGUGGCACCCAGCCGCAGAUAGUUAAUUAGUCACCAGGUGGGAAGGAUCUAGUGAUUUUAAGGGAAUCAGAGUCACUCACAGGAUAGAAAGCAGGUUGGCAAGAUGUGUGGAGAAACUGGGCCUGAAAAGUGAUAUUGCAGGACUAAAGCUUGUUUGAACAAGGAAGGAGUCGGUGAGCAUUUGUUUGUAAAGUGUGGUGGAUUUUAACAUUUAAGUAAAUCAUGUAAUUAUGCUUAAGGAAAAAUGUGUUUAAAUGUUAUGAAAUCAUGUUUGGAUUGUAAGCUAAAGUGUUAUACAUUUAACAUUUAUGAAGGUAGUUAAAAGAAAUGUGUUAAGAUUUUUAAGGAAGCUGGAAGUGAGAAAUUGUGGUUUUAUAGAUUAAAGCUGUUAGAGUUUAAGGGUAGAAUUAUUUGAGUAGUGCUUUAAAAGUGUCUUCAAUUUAUUUGGGUGCUCUAGAUAUGGGGUUUUUCUUUCAAUGUAUUUUCAAGACUAAUUUGUGUUUAAAUUUAAGUAUUUGAUCCUGGGUUUUGAUGCUUUAAUAUGGUUACUUGGGUUUAUUGUAUAUUUUCUUGAUUACUUGUAUUUGUGUUUAAGGUUUUUUACCUGCUUUUGGCCAUGGCAACUUUCAAAUAAAAGAAAGAAAAGAAAGAAUUGAUUCCUGGUCAUUGAGUAAAAUCCAGUCCAAACCUUCAAGAGCAAGCAUACCCUUUCAAGUGGGGGAAAUUGCAGGGUUGAACUUCACUAGAGUGAGGGAACUUGACAGUAAAAAACCGCUGUGAAGACUGGAACAAAGAAUCCUGAACAGCAACCAGCCAGGCCUGAUAAAACAGGAAAUCCUCCAACCCAAUCCUGCUGAAAAGAUGGCUGACUCAAAGACACUGGAGCAGCUAAAGAACAAUAGGACAUCCGCAAAGCGACAAUUCUCACGGCUGGCUAACAACGUAGUCCGAAUGUAUGCCAUCACACCUGAAGAGGAGCUCAGGGACAGUUUCAAAAAGCUCAUAAUUGAGGCCAACAAGGUCAUGGAAGCCAAUGAUGAUGUAGGGGCCCAGUACCUUGUAGAAGCCGAGCUGGAUCCAGAUUCCGAAGGAGUUCCCAGGUUGAAUGAGCAGCAAAAGGCCGACAUUGGGAAAACCGCAAGUGAGUGCGAGAUGAGGUUGAAUGAGCUCAAAGAGCUUAUCCAAAAGACACUCUGGACCAACUUUGGAGAAGAGGAACUGACAAUGGCAGUGAAGGCUGCGGAGGAGGAAGUAGAGAGGGUGGUAUCCUUUGGACCUGGUGGAAAUAAAGAGGUUUAUGACUUCAUGUUUGAUUACAUGGAAAAACUGGUUAAGAGGGCAAAAGAGCUGCACGCACAGUGGAAGUGUUGGGCUCCUGCUGCUGAACGACAAGGUUUCCAGCUGCGGGUCAGAGGUCUUGAGCAGAUCAUCCCCAAGUUAAUGUCAAGAAAAGCUGAGUUCAUUCAAGUAAAAGCUAAAGAAGAUGCCGAAAGAGUUGUGAGUGCAGCUUCUAUCAGCUAUCCAACAGCAGCCAUUAGACUGAAGCCUACUUCCCUCCCCAAGUUUACUGGCAUCAGGCGAGACUUUCAUCGCUGGAAAAGGGACUGGGAGGCCCUCCAGAGGCAAGGAGAACCCACUGGGUCAAAAGAAGUCAAAAAGUUUCAGCUUCUUGACAGCUUGGAUGAGAAAUUAAUGAGAGAUCUUCGAUUGAUGACCUAUAACACAGCAGAUGACAUUCUUCGUGUCCUAGAGAAUCGGUUUGGAAGCCAAACUGCGAUUGCUAUUGAAAUAGUAGAGGAGCUCCAGAGACUUCCAGCUGCAAAAUGUCACCAGCCCAAGAAAAUUGUUGAGCUCAUCCAAGCCGUGGAGAAGGCCCUUGAAGACCUGAGUGACCUGGGUGACACUGGUGCUUUAAAGAAUCCUCUGGUGACAAAGUCGAUUGAAAGUAAGCUUCCAGAUGCACUGAAGAAAGAGUGGCUUCUUUAUGCAGCUGAGAGAAGCAGUACUGACCCAGAGAAGCGCUUCGACUAUCUUCUGGCCUUUCUCAAGAGUCAAGAGAGCAUCUACGAACAGCUGGAUCAAUUGAGGGAUGAAGAGCCACUGAGGAAAGAAAACCGGCCUGAACAAAGGCAGGCUAGGACCAGAGCAUCAAUCCAGUCAAGUAGCAACCUCUCAGGAUGUGUAAUCUGUGGGGACAUCAAGCAUAAGAAGAAACUGUACUUCUGCAAAAGGUUUCGUGUGCUCAAGCUCACAGAGAAGAAGGAUGCGGUGCGGAAGCUGGGAGCCUGCUGGAAAUGUCUGGAGGUCCAUGACGAGGGUAAUCACUGCAAAACUUUGUUUCUGUGCAAAAGUCCUGAUUGUAGAGAGCAGAGAGUUGCAGACCAUCACUAUUAUCUGUGUCCCAGUGCUGAGGUAUCCAGAGACAGUACAGCUCAGAGGAGGAGAAAAACCACAGUGGGAGGUGAGAGCUGGAGGAAUUACACCGAGGCCCAGGAGGAAUUCUUCAGAAAACUCUCACCUGAAUUAGCCAAACAAUGUCGGGAUGCAUUCUGUAACACGGCAGCGAGCACCUCCCAUCUUGCAAAGAGUCAUUCAAGUCUUCUGGUAGAGAGGGGCCUAGCGGAGUGGCCUGUCAUCAUGAUGCUGUUGGAGGUAACAGCAAAUGCUGGGCAGAAAAUUGGAACCCUUAUCGACCUAGCUUCCGAUACAAAUUAUAUCACCCAUGAGGCAGCAGGUCGGCUCAAUCUCAGAAGUGAAGACAUCACGCUUGUAGUCCAUGGUGUAGGAGGCAUGAAAGCCUUUGUCAAGACAAAGCGGUACCUCCUGAAAAUUCGGGUCAACACCUUAAGAGGCACUCUCAGAUCCCACCAGCUGGUUUGCUAUGGCCUAGACAGCAUUGCAGACAUUCAAAGACAUGUGUCUGCUAAAAAACUACAAGAGUUCUUCCCAGACAUUCCACUCAGUGACCUGGCAAGGCCAAGGGAGAUCCACCUCCUUGUAAGUCACAAGGAAGGACAGCUGGCUCCGCAGAAAGUCCGCACUGUGGGGGACCUUGUGUUGUGGGACGGACCAAUGGGAAAGACCGUUGCUGGAACCCAUCCUGAGUUGUUCGAGGCGGUAACUGUUUCAGCCCACACAUCGAGAACGCAUUUCGCAAGGUCUAUGAGAACUGCUGCGGUAAAAUAUGAAGAACACACCUGCGUGAUUCCCAUUAAUCGUCAACAAAGCCAGCAACUUCAGGGAUUCAGUUGUGGGACUACUACGUCUAGCUUCCUCGAGUGGUGGAAAUGGGAUAGCAUCGGUGCUGGCUGCAUCCCAAAAUGUGGGGGUUGUCGCUGUGGAAACUGCCAGCCAGGCGGCAAAGAAAUGACCCUCGCAGAAGAAAGGGAGCUGGAGGUGGUAAAGAAUGGGCUAACAUAUGUAGUUGCUGAUGAGCACAGUGAGACUCCUCACUGGCACGCCAGGUACCCCUGGGUAGAAGAUCCAGCCACAUUACCAAGUAAUAGGUGUGCAGUUGAGGCAACUUUCCUCAGGACGGAGAGGCAGCUGACCAGGGAGCCGGAGUGGAAGGCUGCCUAUGCUGCUCAAGUUCACGAGAUGGUCGAGCGUGGGGCGGCAAUGAAGUUGCCUGAAGAUGUCCUUCAGACAUGGACUGGCCCAGUGUGGUACAUUAGCCACCUCAUCGCACCCAACCCACACUCCGUCACAACUCCGGUGAGACUGGUCUGGAACAGUAGUCAGAAGUGUAGAGGUGUGAGCCUUAAUGACCUCCUGUUAAAGGGCCCCGACGUCUUAAAUUCCAUUCGUGCUGUGCUUCUCAGGUUCCGGAGGGGAGAGUUUGCAGCUUUGGGAGACAUAAGGAAAAUGUACAAUUCAGUGUGGCUUGAAGAUCGGGAAGUGCAUUUGCAUAGGUUUCUGUGGCGUGACUCUGAAGAGGAGGAGCUUGGCAUAUAUGCAGUCACAAGAGUAAACAUUGGUGACAAGCCAGCAGGUUGUAUUGCUCAACUCGCCAUGAGAGAGACCGCGAAUCUCCCCCAGUUUAGCCAUCUUGAGGAAGAACGUCGGGUGCUAGAGGAGGACAGCUAUGUUGAUGAUAUCUUGACCUCCCAUAACAACUUGGACCAGCUCAAAGUGAUCACAGAAAAUGUGGAACAGAUCCUGGGAGCAGGAGGGUUCAAGUUGAAGCCGUGGGUCUUUUCUGGUGAAAGUAGGAGGGAUUCUCUCGGAAAACAGGAACAGAAGGCUACUCCAAAGACUGUAAUCCUGCCAAAUCAGCUCAAGGAGGAGGACAACAAAGCUCUUGGCCUCGGCUACACCCUGGAGGAUGACAAGCUUCAUGUUAUGGUUGGUGUAAACUUUUCAAAGAGGAAGAGAAAGAUGAGAGUUGGCCAAGACCGGGAUUCUCUCGGAAAACAGGAACAGAAGGCUACUCCAAAGACUGUAAUCCUGCCAAAUCAGCUCAAGGAGGAGGACAACAAAGCUCUUGGCCUCGGCUACACCCUGGAGGAUGACAAGCUUCAUGUCAUGGUUGGUGUAAACUUUUCAAAGAGGAAGAGAAAGAUGAGAGUUGGCCAAGACCUUCAAAAGGAAGAGGUGAGAUCUCAGACGCCAGACCCACUGACACGACGAGAGUUGCUUAGCCAAGUUUCUGGGCUGUAUGACCCAGUUGGUCUGACGACGCCUGUAAAGCAGAAAGGAGCCAUUUUGGUUCGGAGAGCAUUUCAAGAGGCCAAACACAAAUGCAGCACUGUCAGGGACACUUGGGACCUUGCGCUAUCAGAAAAUCUCAGAGAAGAUGCCAUCAGCCUUUUUGAAGAAUACGUUGAGCUGAGCAAAGUCAAGUUCCCUAGAGCCUUGACACCAGUGAGUGUGACAGCUGAGCCUGAUGCAAUUACCUUUUCUGAUGGGAGCGAUCAUGCCUAUGGUGCCGUCCUGUAUCUGCGGUGGGACUGUGAUCAAGGUCCAACAGUGAGGCUGGUGGAGUCUAAAGCUAAACUGGCCCCCCUAGACCACAAGGGGGAAGCAGUCAAGGCAGAGCUAUGUGGAGCAGUAUUCACCGCCAGGUUAAAGAGGUACUUUGAGCAACAUAGCCGAAUUCAAGUUAAGCAAUGGUACCACUUUGUUGAUAGUCAAACUGUACUUUGUUCAAUUCAACGUGAGAGCUAUGGCUUUCAGACCUUUUUUGGCAACAGGAUUGGAGAAAUCCAAACCAGCACACAACUUCAGGAUUGGUGGUGGAUUCCUGGAUCCCUGAACAUCGCUGACAUCAUUACUCGUGGGUCUGGCCCAAAGGAGUUGGCUGAAAAUUCACCAUGGCAGCAAGGACCAAAGUUUCUGAGUCUACCGGUUGAGGAGUGGCCGAUUAAGUCUGCAAAGGAUGUAUCUGUAACUGCCAGAGAGAGUGUUGGAAGGAUGCAGAAGAAAUCAUUUGCUGCGGCUCUCACAAGAGCUAAGGUGAAAGAGGCACUAAACCUGGAGCAUCGAAGGCCACCUGCUGGGGCUGCUGUCCGAAACCUGGUGGAUGAAGGACGGUUCAGCAACCUGACUCGUCUGGUUAAGACCAUUGCCUGGGUCUGGAGGGCAGCAAAAUGCUUUGCAGCUAAAAGUAAGAUCCUGGGAGCUCCAAAGUGGGAGGCAGUCUCAUCAGCCAGGGUCAUCACUACGAUAGAGCGCCAAGAUGCUUUAAGGGAUCUGUUUCUUGCCACACAAGAGGGGGUGACCUUUCCAGCAACCACAAUAGACCGGCUGGUAGUCUUCAAAGAGGAAGAAACUGGGUUACUGGUUUGUGGUGGUCGAGUCCAAGCCUUUAAUGAAGACCAAGUUAGUGUCCCUCUUUUACCUUGCAGCGCCUGGGUCUCAACAUUGCUUGUUCAGGAAGCUCAUAGCAAGGGUCACGAGGGUGUGGCUGCCACUCUAUUGAAGGUGAGAAAGAGAGCAUGGGUCAUCAAGGGACGAAUAAUUGCUCGAAAAGUCAUUGAAAAUUGUGUGGUCUGCAAGAAAGCCAGAGUGAGAAGAUGUCAGCAAGUUAUGGGUGAUCUGCCUCAAGAGAGAACCAGGCCAGCAUCUCCAUUUGAGUUCACAGCCGUUGACCUGUUUGGACCCUAUCAGGUCAAAGAUGAUGUUAGGAAAAGAGUAAAAAUGAAAGUCUGGGGAGUUGUAUUUUGCUGUAUGGUCAGCAGAGCAAUACAUACGGAGCUCACCAACACAAUGUCAACUGAAAGCUUCCUGAUGGCUUAUCAGAGGUUCACCGCAAUUAGAGGCCACCCUAAGACGAUAUGGUCUGAUCCAGGGACUAAUUUUGUUGGUGCCAAGUCUGUUCUGAAGGAGUUGUAUCAGUUCCUGGACAGCCUGGAUAGGUCUGCUGUGGAGGAUACUUCAGCUCAAAAUGGAACUGACUGGCAUUGGAAAAUUCUGCCAGCUGAUUCACCUCAUCGGAAUGGCUCUGCGGAAGCAGCUGUUCGGAUUGUGAAGAAGGCGUUCCAGAGUCUGGGAAGAGAGUCAGGGCUCUGUUUCAGCGAGCUUCAGACGACUCUUCAGCUUGCCGCUAAUCUGGCAAAUGAGCGGCCCAUUGAUGCCAGGGUGCAGAGCCUUGAAGAUACAGUGCAGUACGUCACGCCAAAUACACUUCUGCUGGGACGAGCAUCAUCAAGUGGUGACUGGAAAACAUUUGACUUUGCAAGCUAUCCCUAUAAGAGACUUCAGGAAAUGCAGCAUCAGGUCAACAAAUUCUGGAGAUUCUGGAGCCAACUUGCUGGUCCUAAUCUUUUCGUGAGGAGCAAGUGGCACACUGCACAGAGGAAUGUCGCAAUUGGAGAUAUUGUCUGGCUCUGUGAUCAGAAUGCAUUGAGGGGCCACUUUAAGCUUGGAAGAGUCAUCAGUGUAAAUCCUGAUUCUAGAAACAUUGUACGGGAUGUGAAUAUUAGAGUUGUGGCAAGCUCCUGUAUUCCGGAGGUGAGGCCUGUAACAUCAGCAUCCAAAUAUCCUACAUCCAAGCAUCAUGUCUCCAGCAUUCGGAGGGACCUUCAGUCCACAAUUCUUCACCGGGAUGUCCGGCGGUUGGUGGUCCUACUGCCAGUGGAGGAGCAGGCAGGGAGCCCAGGAGGACAUCUCUGACUACUAGUUUACUGUGUGCGAUCUUUCCAGCGGUUUCCGUGGGAAGAUCGAGUGGGAGGUGUUGAGCUGAGCUACAGACCACACCCUUUCUGCCCGGGUGGUUUUGGUGCUAGGUGUGGCACCCAGCCGCAGAUAGUUAAUUAGUCACCAGGUGGGAAGGAUCUAGUGAUUUUAAGGGAAUCAGAGUCACUCACAGGAUAGAAAGCAGGUUGGCAAGAUGUGUGGAGAAACUGGGCCUGAAAAGUGAUAUUGCAGGACUAAAGCUUGUUUGAACAAGGAAGGAGUCGGUUUUUUACCUGCUUUUGGCCAUGGCAACUUUCAAAUAAAAGAAAGAAAAGAAAGAAUUGAUUCCUGGUCAUUGAGUAAAAUCCAGUCCAAACCUUCAAGAGCAAGCAUACCCUUUCAAGUGGGGGAAAUUGCAGGGUUGAACUUCACUAGAGUGAGGGAACUUGACAAUAUCUGUCUUUCAGUCCUUGUCUGAUAGCUAUGCAAUCAUCUAUAUGCAAGAAUAUAAUUAAAAGCUAACAAGAUUUGCAUUUACAAUUAGCAUACAGUUAGACGUUGAAGUUUACUGCCCUUCUCUUUAGAAAAACAGACCAAAAAUAUUCAUGACCCAUCCUGCACUGGACAGAUUCUUGUCCAAUCAAAUGCUCUCUAGAGUGAAAAAAGUUCCUUCAGAAAAUUCCACCUCCAACUGACUGGCAAGUAACAAAUUAUGCAUAAUGCCAAGAUCCUAUCUCCCCAUCUCACACUAUUGUGAUACCUUGCUCUAGCAAAUCAAAAGCACUUCGUUUAACCUGUUACUGCUAUGCUAAGCUGGAAGGGAGAACUGUGUACUUGUAAGAUGAAGGCUUACUGACAACAUAAAAGUGAAUUGUUUGAUGGUUUUUGCAUUGGUAAUGUAAUUUUAUGUGAAAAAUAAAACAUUGUUCAAGCUAAUGAAAAUAAAAUUUCUUAACACCAAUAGACUUGGUUGUUAGCUUGUUAUUCGAAGACCAGCUUACAACACAAAGUGAAAAUAUUUCAAUUGACCAUUUAGCUUUGGUACUAUAAAGUGAUAUGUAAUUUUCUAGCUAAAUCAAACUAGCUUUUCUAUAGCAUCUAACACCAAGCUAAAACAUCAGGCUUUAAACUGACCAUCUAGCUUUGUUAAUGUAAUUUGAUAUGUAGUUUUGUAGAAAAUCAAAAAAAUCACUAUGCUAAACUAGUAGGCUAAAUUGUUAGCUUGCUAAGCAAAGGCUAAUUAAACACAAACUAAAUUAUUUAAGACCAUUUAGAUUUAUCAAUAUAAUGUGAUACAUAAUGUGUCAUUUUCUAGCUAACCAAAGGAGCUUUUCUGAAGCAGACAUUUAACGCUAUGUUAAGCUAGUAGACUAAGCUCUUAGACUGUUAGCUGAAGGCUGACUGAGAACACAAAGAAAAGUAAAACGUGCAUUUGACCAUUUCAGUUUUGGUAAUGCAAUGGAAUUUUUGAUAUGCAAUUUAAAAACAAACCUGGUUCUAAAUAAUAAAAAGAGCUUUACUGAACCACUUAAUGCUAUGCUAAGCUAGCAGGCAAAAUACAAAGAAAGGGAAAUGCUUUAUUUGACCAUUUUAGCUUUAGUUAUUCAAUGUUCACAUUAAAAACGCAUAAAAUGGAUGUCUCAAACAAAGGAAUCGUUUGGUCCAAGGGGGGCAGGUCUUGACGGGGAAAGGAUUGUGCACAACAAAAAUAAAACCUAUUAGCCAUUAAAAAAA